CCUGAUCAAUCCUGCCAGUAGUAUAUGCUUGUCUCAAAGAUUAAGCCAUGCAAGUGUAAGUACUCACGGCCGGUACAGUGAAACUGCGAUUGGCUCAUUAAAUGAGUUAUGGUUCCUUUGAUCGCUCAUCUGUUACUUGUUUACUGUGGAUAUAUGCUGAUGUGCACUGACCUCCCGGAUGCGUGCAUUUUUCAAACCAACACCAACCUGGGCUCGCACAACCGAUUUGGUGACUGUAGAUAACCUGAUCACACAUCCCAGUGACGGCGACAAUGCAUUCGGAUGUCUACCCUAUGAGGUUUUGCCGGUACUUCCUGUGCCCACCAUGGUGACCAUGGGUAACAGGGAAUCAGGGUUCAAUUCUGGAGAGGGAGCCUGAGAAAUGGCUACCACAUCCAAGGAAGGCAGCGGGCACACAAAUGACCCAAUCCCGACACAGGGAAGUAGUGAAAAAAAAUACCAAUACAUUACCCUUUUGAUACACUAUAAUUGGAAUGAGUACACUUUAAACCCUUUAACUAGGAUCCAUUGGAUGGAAAGUCUGGUGCAAGCAGCCAUGGUCAUUACAGCUCCAAUAGCGUAUAUUAAAUUUGAAACAGUUAAAAAUCUCAUCAUUGGAUCUUGGGAUUGAGCUGGCAGUCCACUGCGAGGCGAGCUACCACCUGUCCCAGCCCCUGCCUCUCAGUGCCCCCCUGAUGCUCUUACUGAGUGUACUAGGGUUCCGAAGCAUUUACUUUGAAAAAAUGUGAGUGUUCAAAACAGGCCGGUCACCUAAAUACUACUGCUAGGAGUAAUGGAAUAAGAUUCCAGUUCUAUUUUGUUGGUUUUCAGAACUGGGGCCAGGAUAUGAUAUGAUAUGAUAUGAUAUGAUAUGAUAUGAUAUGAUAUGGAAUUUGUAACGCGCCUAUACACAAGUGUAUAUCCCAUGAUUAAGAGGACGUCUGGGAGCAUUCGUAUUGUGCCGCUAGAGGUGAAAUUCAAGGACUGGCGCAAGACGAACCAAAGUGAAAGUAUUUGCCAAGAAUAUUGUAAUUAAUCAAGAACAAAAGUCAAAGGUUCGAACACAAUCAGAUAACGUCGUAGAUAUCACCACAAAUGGUGCCAACUAGCGAUCCGGUUGCGUUAUUCCCAUGACCCGCCAAGCAGCUUCUGGAAACCAAAGUCUUUGGUUUACGGGGUGAGUAUGGUUGCAAAGCUGAAACAUACAGAAAUUGACGGAAGGGCACCACCAGCAAUGGAGCCUGUGGCUUAAUUUGACUCAACACAGGAAACCUCACCCGGCCUAGACAUGAAAGGAUUGACAGAUUGAUAGCUCUUUCUCAAUUCUGUGGGUGGUGGUAUAUGGCUUUUCUUAGUUGAUGGAGCGAUUUGUCUGGUUAAUUCCGAUAACGAAUGAGACUCGUCCAUGCUAACAAGUUACCUGACCCCCAGCAGUCGGCGUUCAACUUCUUAGAGGGACAAGUGGUGUUCAGCCACUUGAGAUCGAGCAAUAACAGGUCUGUGAUGCCCUUAGGCCUGUGAUGCCGGGCUGAACACGCACUACACUAAACGGAUCAGCGUGUGUCUACCCUUCAUGACAGGUGCGGGUAACCCGCUGAACCCGUUCGCGAUAGGGAUUGGGGAUUGCAAUUAUUUCCCAUGAACAAGGAAUUCCCAGCGAGUGCGGGUCAUAAGCUUGCGUUAAGUCCUUGCACUCACUGCCAGUCGCUAAUACAGAUUCAAUGGUUUAGUGAGGUCUUCGGAUCGGUCCAGCCGGGGUCGCCAACUGCCCUGGUGGAUCGCCAAUAAGAUGAGCAAACUUGACUAUCUAGAGGAAGUAAAAGUCAUAACAAGGUCUCCGUAGGUGAACCUACGGAUG
rnacentral:rRNA from 1 species